rnacentral:lncRNA from 1 species
AGUUUUAAUGACCAACUGAAUGUUUUUUAUGGUUUAUGCAGGAAUCACUUUCUGCAGCAAUGGGUGAUGCCAUCAACUCAUGAUGCAUAAGCAGUAUCAGAACAAGACUACAGAGAAAUGAAAACAUCGUAUGAGAUUAUUAGGCAUACAGUUACAAGGUGCCAAUGCCAGAAGAGGAAUGGUGCUCCAUACCACCCUUUGUAUAAUGAAGUUCUCCCUGCAGGCCAGCUGGCAAAGCCUAUUGCAUCCUUAACAUCUCAAAUGAAGGCAAAAGCUCCCCAGUAGCACAGUUCAUCCAGUUGCAAGUAAACGGGGAGCAAGACUGACCAAAAUAUCAAAUAACUGAGUAUCAAAAAGGUCAAUACGAUCCGAUCUACGUUACUGCCACACUGUGUGGAAUGUGGGAGGCAUUUUAAUCCUCAUUUUGCAUUCUGAAAUGACGAUGCCUGUAAUGAAUAGGAAAUGACAUAUUAUGAAUUCAUUCUUGUGAUGAUAAUUGUAAUGAGACUAGUGAAUGGUACAACAAAUCUAAUCCAUCUUCGUGACACUUUAAAAAAUGCGAACUGAAUGCAGUCCUUGGCUAUUUUUCACACACUUUACAGAAGAAAACUAAUUACAAUUAAGUGGAAAACAAAAAUAUUGCAUUUCCAAGAUAUGUUAAACCCAUAUUUAUUGGAAAGUGGUGUGAUCUGUGUAAGUCUUGUGGAAG